UACAGAGGUCUCAAGCGUUGUUCGGAUUCAUUGGGCGUAAAGGGUUCGUAGGUGGCGCUGUAAGUCGGGUGUGAAAUUUCGGAGCUUAACUCCGAAACUGCAUUCGAUACUGCGGGGCUUGAGGACUGGAGAGGAGACUGGAAUUCAUGGUGUAGCAGUGAAAUGCGUAGAUAUCAUGAGGAAGACCAGUGGCGAAGGCGGGUCUCUGGACAGUGCCUGACACUGAUGCACGAAGGCCAGGGGAGCAAACGGG
rnacentral:rRNA from 1 species